rnacentral:rRNA from 1 species
AUUGAACGCUGGCGGCAGGCCUAACACAUGCAAGUCGAGCGGAUGAAGAGAGCUUGCUCUCUGAUUUAGCGGCGGACGGGUGAGUAAUGCCUAGGAAUCUGCCUGGUAGUGGGGGAUAACGUUCCGAAAGGAACGCUAAUACGGCGUACGUCCUACGGGAGAAAGCAGGGGACCUUCGGGCCUUUCGCUACCAGAUGAGCCUAGGUCGGAUUAGCUAGUUGGUGAGGUAAUGGCUCACCAAGGCUACGAUCCGUAACUGGUCUGAGAGGAUGAUCAGUCACACUGGAACUGAGACACGGUCCAGACUCCUACGGGAGGCAGCAGUGGGGAAUAUUGGACAAUGGGCGAAAGCCUGAUCCAGCCAUGCCGCGUGUGUGAAGAAGGUCUUCGGAUUGUAAAGCACUUUAAGUUGGGAGGAAGGGCGUUUGGCUAAUAUCCAGGCGUUUUGACGUUACCAACAGAAUAAGCACUGGCUGACUUCGUGCCAGCCGCCGCCGUAAGAC